rnacentral:lncRNA from 1 species
UUGAGUUAUUUCUCUUACACUGCUUUUAAAUCAUGUUUUGUACUUAAAAGAAUAAGUAAUUGUCCAUCAACCAGGACACCCUUGUUUUUCACCCUUUUUUGCCCCCAAUUCCUAAACAGUUUUAGCAAUAAAAACCCAAAGCCAUUUUUUACCAUCCCUUUGUGGUAUGCAAACUUGUGGUAUAAUUUCAGAGAAAUCCAUACACCAUUCCACAAGUUAUUGUCUGGAAACUAGAAAAAUGCUUAUUUGGGCCCCCUUUUGGCCCCCAAUUCCUAAACUGUUGGGAACAUAACCCCUUAAUUCAAUCC